rnacentral:rRNA from 1 species
UACGUAGGGUGCAAGCGUUGUCCGGAAUUAUUGGGCGUAAAGAGCUCGUAGGCGGUUUGUCGCGUCUGCUGUGAAAACCCGAGGCUCAACCUUGGGCCUGCAGUGGGUACGGGCAGACUAGAGUGCGGUAGGGGAGAGUGGAAUUCCUGGUGUAGCGGUGGAAUGCGCAGAUAUCAGGAGGAACACCGAUGGCGAAGGCAGAUCUCUGGGCCGUAACUGACGCUGAGGAGCGAAAGCAUGGGGAGCGAACAGG